rnacentral:rRNA from 1 species
UACGGGGGGAGCAAGCGUUGUUCGGAUUUACUGGGCGUAAAGGGCGCGUAGGCGGUCAGCACAAGUCAGUUGUGAAAUCUCCGGGCUUAACCCGGAAAGGUCAACUGAUACUGUGCGACUAGAGUGCGGAAGGGGCAACUGGAAUUCUUGGUGUAGCGGUGAAAUGCGUAGAUAUCAAGAGGAACACCUGCGGCGAAGGCGGGUUGCUGGGCCGACACUGACGCUGAGGCGCGAAAGCUAGGGGAGCGAACGGG